rnacentral:rRNA from 1 species
CAGCAGCCGCGGUAAUACGUAGGGGGCGAGCGUUGUCCGGAAUGAUUGGGCGUAAAGGGCGCGUAGGCGGCUCGGUAAGUCUGAAGUGAAAGUCCUGCUUUUAAGGUGGGAAUUGCUUUGGAUACUGUCGGGCUAGAGUGCAGGAGAGGUAAGUGGAAUUCCCAGUGUAGCGGUGAAAUGCGUAGAGAUUGGGAGGAACACCAGUGGCGAAGGCGACUUACUGGACUGUAACUGACGCUGAGGCGCUAAAGUGUGGGGAGCAAACAGGAUUAGAUACCCUGGUAGUCCACACUGUAAACGAUGAAUGCUAGGUGUAGGGGGUAUCGACCCCUUCUGUGCCGCAGUUAACACAAUAAGCAUUCCGCCUGGGGAGUACGGCCGCAAGGUUGAAACUCAAAUAAA